rnacentral:rRNA from 1 species
AGCAUAUCAAUAAGCGGAGGAAAAGAAACCAACAGGGAUUGCCCCAGUAACGGCGAGUGAAGCGGCAACAGCUCAAAUUUGAAAUCUGGUCCCUAGGGCCCGAGUUGUAAUUUGUAGAGGAUGCUUUUGGUGAGGUGCCGCCCGAGUUCCCUGGAACGGGACGCCACAGAGGGUGAGAGCCCCGUCUGGCUGGCCGCCGAGCCUCUGUAAAGCUCCUUCGACGAGUCGAGUAGUUUGGGAAUGCUGCUCAAAAUGGGAGGUAUAUGUCUUCUAAAGCUAAAUAUUGGCCAGAGACCGAUAGCGCACAAGUAGAGUGAUCGAAAGAUGAAAAGCACCUUGAAAAGAGGGUUAAAUAGUACGUGAAAUUGUUGAAAGGGAAGCGCUUGUGACCAGACUUGGGCGCGGCGGAUCAUCCGGGGUUCUCUCCGGUGCACUUCGCCGCGUCUAGGCCAGCAUCAGUUCGUCGCGGGGGAAAAAGGCUUCGGGAACGUGGCUCCUCCGGGAGUGUUAUAGCCCGUUGCAUAAUACCCUGCGGUGGACUGAGGACCGCGCAUCUGCAAGGAUGCUGGCGUAAUGGUCACCAGCGACCCGUCUUGAAACACGGACCAAGGAGUCGUCUUCGUAUGCGAGUGUUCGGGUGUCAAACCCCUACGCGUAAUGAAAGUGAACGCAGGUGAGAGCUUCGGCGCAUCAUCGACCGAUCCUGAUGUUCUCGGAUGGAUUUGAGUAAGAGCAUACGGGGCCGGACCCGAAAGAAGGUGAACUAUGCCUGUAUAGGGUGAAGCCAGAGGAAACUCUGGUGGAGGCUCGCAGCGGUUCUGACGUGCAAAUCGAUCGUCAAAUAUGGGCAUGGGGGGCGAAAGACUAAUCGAACCUUCUAGUAGCUGGUUUCCGCCG